UACGUAGGGUGCAAGCGUUGUCCGGAAUUAUUGGGCGUAAAGGGCUCGUAGGCGGUCCAUCACGUCGGGAGUGAAAAGCUGGGGCUUAACCCCAGUCCUGCUUCCGAUACGGGGUGGACUAGAGGUAGGCAGGGGGAGAACGGAAUUCCUGGUGUAGCGGUGAAAUGACGCAGAUAUCAGGAGGAACACCGGUGGCGAAGGCGGAUCUCUGGGCCGAUACUGACGUGGAGGAGCGAAAGCGUGGGGAGCGAACAGG
rnacentral:rRNA from 1 species